rnacentral:rRNA from 1 species
GAUGAACGCUGGCGGCGUGCCUAAUACAUGCAAGUCGAGCGAACAGAUAAGGAGCUUGCUCCUUUGACGUUAGCGGCGGACGGGUGAGUAACACGUGGAUAACCUACCUAUAAGACUGGGAUAACUUCGGGAAACCGGAGCUAAUACCGGAUAACAUAUUGAACCGCAUGGUUCAAUAGUGAAAGGCGGCUUUGCUGUCACUUAUAGAUGGAUCCGCGCCGUAUUAGCUAGUUGGUAAGGUAACGGCUUACCAAGGCAACGAUGCGUAGCCGACCUGAGAGGGUGAUCGGCCACACUGGAACUGAGACACGGUCCAGACUCCUACGGGAGGCAGCAGUAGGGAAUCUUCCGCAAAGGGCGAAAGCCUGACGGAGCAACGCCGCGUGAGUGAUGAAGGUCUUCGGAUCGUAAAACUCUGUUAUCAGGGAAGAACAAAUGUGUAAGUAACUGUGCACAUCUUGACGGUACCUGAUCAGAAAGCCACGGCUAACUACGUG